rnacentral:rRNA from 1 species
GACGAACGCUGGCGGCGUGCUUAACACAUGCAAGUCGAACGGAAAGGCCCUGCUUUUGUGGGGUGCUCGAGUGGCGAACGGGUGAGUAACACGUGAGUAACCUGCCCUUGACUUUGGGAUAACUUCAGGAAACUGGGGCUAAUACCGGAUAGGAGCUCCUGCUGCAUGGUGGGGGUUGGAAAGUUUCGGCGGUUGGGGAUGGACUCGCGGCUUAUCAGCUUGUUGGUGGGGUAGUGGCUUACCAAGGCUUUGACGGGUAGCCGGCCUGAGAGGGUGACCGGCCACAUUGGGACUGAGAUACGGCCCAGACUCCUACGGGAGGCAGCAGUGGGGAAUAUUGCACAAUGGGCGGAAGCCUGAUGCAGCAACGCCGCGUGCGGGAUGACGGCCUUCGGGUUGUAGCCCGAUUUCGCCUGUGACGAAGCGUGAGUGACGGUAAUGGGUAAAGCAGCACCGGCUAACUACGUG